AGUGAACGCUGGCGGUAGGCCUAACACAUGCAAGUCGAACGGCCGCACAGUAAGAGCUUGCUCUUACGGGUGGCGAGUGGCGGACGGGUGAGGAAUACAUCGGAAUCUACUUUUUCGUGGGGGAUAACGUAGGGAAACUUACGCUAAUACCGCAUACGACCUACGGGUGAAAGCAGGGGAUCUUCGGACCUUGCGCGAUUGAUUGAGCCGAUGUCGGAUUAGCUAGUUGGCGGGGUAAAGGCCCACCAAGGCGACGAUCCGUAGCUGGUCUGAGAGGAUGAUCGGCCACACUGGAACUGAGACACGGUCCAGACUCCUACGGGAGGCAGCAGUGGGGAAUAUUGGGCAAUGGGCGCAAGCCUGAUCCAGCCAUACCGCGUGGGUGAAGAAGGUCUUCGGGUUGUAAAGCUCUGUUGUUGGGAAAGAAAAUCAGCAGGUUAAUACGCCGCUGUUCUGACGGUACCCAAAGAAUAAGCACCGGCUAACUUCGUG
rnacentral:rRNA from 1 species